UACGUAGGGGGCUAGCGUUGUCCGGAAUCAUUGGGCGUAAAGCGCGUGUAGGCGGUUCGGUAAGUCCGCUGUGAAAGUCGGGGGCUCAACCCUCGGAUGCCGGUGGAUACUGUCGGACUAGAGUACGGAAGAGGCGAGUGGAAUUCCCGGUGUAGCGGUGAAAUGCGCAGAUAUCGGGAGGAACACCAGUAGCGAAGGCAGCUUGCUGGGACGGUACUGACGCUAAGGCGCGAAAGCGUGGGGAGCGAACAGG
rnacentral:rRNA from 1 species